GUUGUUGUUUUUGUUUUUGUUUUUCUCCGGUACCGGUACAGGUUCUGUAGAACCGCCUUCAUGGAGAAGGACCGUUGUCUCUAAGAGGAGCCCCACAAAACCUCGCAGCGAUACGGGAUCAUCCAAGGUACCCAUCAAUAGAUGAAUGGACAAAGAACGUGUGGUCCGUACUAUGUACAAUAGAAUACUAUUCAACAAUGAAAAUGAAAUCCUGCUGCUUGCAUCAAAGUGAGUGGAAGUGAAGGAUACAGAAUGAAGAUGCUCCUUAUUCUUUGGGGGCAGCCAGUGGUGUGUCAACAGCCUGAGAUCACUAUUGCUCCUCAGUGUAUAAAUGAGCCACGUGGAGUAACGUCAGCACUUCAGCUUGACUCUUGAAUUCCCCUGAAAGCCCAUGUAUUAAAAUCUUGGCAUGGUGCUGUCAGAAGGUGAUGGAACUUUUGAGAGGUGGGACCUGACAAGAGGUACUUAGACCACUGGAAGCAUGACCCCAUAGAGGACCAUAAGACCCAGCCCCUCUGUUCCUCUUUGAUCCUGGAUCAUGAUGUGAGUAGUUUUGGUGCACCAUAUACUCCAGCACUGCCUCACCACCCCCCCAAAGCAAUGGGGCCCAUUGGGCAUGGACUGUGAACCGAAACAGACUUUCUACCUUUAUCAAUUGAUUAUAGUACACAUGCUGUUACAGUAAUGGAAAGCUGACUAGCAUACCUGAGAUGACCUGAAGAAUUUCACAUCCCGAGCAGGGAGUUGAAUACACAGAAUGUAGGCUAAAAUAUAGGAUAGUCCUACAGGGACUGUCAUGUACUGAAUAUUGAAGUCCUCAGGCUAUAAUUGUUUGGAGGCUGGGUUUUGAAGAAGUAAUUAAGGUAAAAUGAAUUUAGAGUGGGACCUAAUCCCAUAUAAAUGGCCUUCUUAGUAGAAGGGAACAUGAGGAAAGAGACUUCGUGCACGAGGAAAGAGACUUCGUGCACGGGGAAAAAGACCAUGUGAGGAUGGGGAGAAGACGGCCAAGUACAAGCCAAAGGGAGAAGCCUAGAAGAAGCCAGCCCUAUCACAAACAUAUGCUCAUCAAGCUUUAAAUAAGAAGGGAGAAUUAGGAGAAAAAAGAAUCCCAUUACAAUAUGGUCACUUAGAGUGGCACAAGUGUUACUUGACAUAGACUGUUCCUCUGAAAGAUAAAAAUGACAAAUAAAAUUGUGAUACAGCUC